CGGGGUAUAGCGCAGUCCGGUAGCGCAUCUGGUUUGGGACCAGAGGGUCGUAGGUUCGAAUCCUGCUACCCCGACAA
rnacentral:tRNA from 6 species